rnacentral:rRNA from 1 species
GAUGAACGCUGGCGGCGUGCUUAACACAUGCAAGUCGAACGGAAAGGCCCAAGCUUGCUUGGGUACUCGAGUGGCGAACGGGUGAGUAACACGUGGGUGAUCUGCCCUGCACUUCGGGAUAAGCCUGGGAAACUGGGUCUAAUACCGGAUAGGACCACAUUUUGGAUGGUGUGGUGGAAAGUUUUUCGGUGUGGGAUGAGCUCGCGGCCUAUCAGCUUGUUGGUGGGGUAAUGGCCUACCAAGGCGUCGACGGGUAGCCGGCCUGAGAGGGUGUACGGCCACAUUGGGACUGAGAUACGGCCCAGACUCCUCCGGGAGGCAGGAGGGGGGAAUAUUGCACAAUGGGCGCAAGCCUGAUGCAGCGACGCCGCGUGGGGGAUGACGGCCUUCGGGUUGUAAACUCCUUUCGCUAGGGACGAAGCGCAAGUGACGGUACCUGGAGAAGAAGCACCGGCUAACUACGUG